rnacentral:rRNA from 1 species
UACAGAGGGUGCGAGCGUUAAUCGGAAUUACUGGGCGUAAAGCGCGCGUAGGCGGCUUUGCAAGUCGGGUGUGAAAUCCCCAGGCUUAACCUGGGAACUGCAUUCGAGACUGCAUUGCUAGAGUAUGGGAGAGGGAAGUGGAAUUUCCGGUGUAGCGGUGAAAUGCGUAGAUAUCUGGAGGAACACCGGUGGCGAAGGCGGCAUCCUGGACUGUAACUGACACUGAGGAACGAAAGCCAGGGGAGCAAACGGG